CCUACGGGUGGCUGCAGUGGGGAAUAUUGGACAAUGGGGGGAACCCUGAUCCAGCCAUGCCGCGUGUGUGAAGAAGGCCCUCGGGUUGUAAAGCACUUUCAGUGAGGAAGAACGCCUGGUGGUUAAUACCCAUCAGGAAAGACAUCACUCACAGAAGAAGCACCGGCUAACUCCGUGCCAGCAGCCGCGGUAAUACGGAGGGUGCGAGCGUUAAUCGGAAUUACUGGGCGUAAAGCGCGCGUAGGUGGCUUGAUAAGCCGGUUGUGAAAGCCCCGGGCUCAACCUGGGAACGGCAUCCGGAACGGUAAAGCUAGAGUGCAGGAGAGGAAGGUAGAAUUCCCGGUGUAGCGGUGAAAUGCGUAGAGAUCGGGAGGAAUACCAGUGGCGAAGGCGGCCUUCUGGACUGACACUGACACUGAGGUGCGAAAGCGUGGGUAGCAAACAGGAUUAGAUACCCUUGUAGUC
rnacentral:rRNA from 1 species